AAUUGAGGUUAACUAUCCGUAGAUUUAAUCUAGCAAAUAUAAGGACAAGAGACAAAAACAAUUGAUGAAUCAGUGAAAGUGCACUAAAUUGAAUAUAAAAAAAAAGAUGUCUUCUCUGAGAUCUUAUCGCUGUGAAACAUCAAAAACUGGAAGUGGAACAAAGUCACCAUCACCUUCUCCAGACACAAUGGACGUGGCAGAGAUGUACGCAACAGUUUGAAGUCGAUUUCAAUGAAUUUGAUUGUGAAGGUGCCGAGGGUAGUCAGAGAUAUUCUAAUACUUCAAAACAUCCAUGUUGCACUUGUAGUACCAAAACUCUGUCCAGCCAGAAGUGAGCCCAUUCCCACUUAUAAUGGAUAGUGGGUAUAAUACACCUUAACACCUGAAUGCGAACCACUCAACAUGAUGAACUUAAAUUAAUAGAUGUUAUUUAUAUAUUUUGGGAUAUUACAAAUAAAAUCAUUUUGGAAACAAUUGAUAUCCCAAAAGCAAAUAAAGCGAACAAUGAUA